CGUGGAGAAAGCUGACUUGGCUGGUGUGGUGCAGAGAAGCCAGCCUGUUUAUGUGCUUAUUCUAUG
rfam:Callithrix jacchus chromosome 5, whole genome shotgun sequence